rnacentral:rRNA from 1 species
UACGUAGGUGGCAAGCGUUGUCCGGAAUUAUUGGGCGUAAAGCGCGCGCAGGCGGUUUCUUAAGUCUGAUGUGAAAGCCCACGGCUCAACCGUGGAGGGUCAUUGGAAACUGGGAAACUUGAGUACAGAAGAGGAGAGUGGAAUUCCACGUGUAGCGGUGAAAUGCGUAGAUAUGUGGAGGAACACCAGUGGCGAAGGCGACUCUCUGGUCUGUCACUGACGCUGAGGCGCGAAAGCGUGGGGAGCAAACAGG